AAAGUAAAAGUAGAUGUUGCAAUUAUUAAUAGUUUGCGUUACGUGCGAAAAAUGUAAGUACAAUGCUAUCCUGGACUAUACAUUGCUAUUAUUUGUAUAAAAAAGAAGAGUGUAAGUACAUUGCUAUUAAGGGUUAUGAAUUUCUAUUAUAUAUCUUAUCUACCAUAUCAAAAAACUUUUAAAUCUCUUAGGAUUUUAACGAAUCCCAAAAAAUCAAAAUUACAUAAUCUUCCAUACCUACUAUCCAUAUCAAACUCCGUCUAAAUUUGAUAUCAGUCAAACGGUUUUAGCUUUCAGUUCAGUUGGAAAAAAUAUAUCUUGCUUUCACAUUUUCAAUCAAGACGAUUUCUGCAAGAGAGGCAUCAUAUAAAAUCAGGGUAGUUCAUUUUCAGUCACCUGUAAUAAUCAUAUGUCCCUGAAAAGAUUUUAAUGGCAAUGUAGUUUCAACUUUCUAUACACGUGUCAUAUCUUAAUUGUGUUCACGAUAUCAACAAUAAAAAGAAAACACGUUAAUAUUAAUUUUGACUUGCUAACUAUAUACGGGACCCACAAAUGGAAGUGCUAGAUCACAAUAAGAACUUAUAUCUUAUGCAAAUAAAUCAAAGGAUGUAUUAUAAGUAUGCCAAAUGACAUCGAUUUUCUGAUUAUAUUUAUUAAAUAGUAAAUAAUGUGCAAACUUCCGAGAAAGAUAUCUUGUUUCGAACUUUGGGUGCUUUAGGCAUAUCCAUUAACAAUGAUAUUGAGAAGAAAGAGAUUCACCUUCUGUAUUCUAUGUUUGAAGGUACAUCAAUAGCAGAUUCCAUCUCAGUAAGCAACAAAUGAAGCCUUCUUAUCUGGAAACAAUAUUAAUAAAAACAUUGCUUACAACCUCAUUCUUGUCACCUUAUUCAUUUCUCAUCUAUAGAAAACAAAGAUCGUGAAUUAAGCAAAUAUCUUUAAAAAUAAAAAGUUUUAUUUGACUCUCAAUCUUCGUUUCCAAGUUCUAAUCCAACGAAGUAAGAUAAUGAUUAUUUAGCAAGGGGCGUUAGAAAUUAGGUAAAAUACAUAAAAUGAAAUGUGUACCUCAAAUUCUUACAAAAUACCAAACUAGAAGCAUAAUCUUGUGCAUCUCACAAUUUCAAAUGGUGAUUCUGUUAAGCAUACCUGAUGAAAAUAGAAGAUCAAACAAAUAUAAUUUAGUAAUGAAUCAGGUAAAGAUAAAGUAAGGUGGAAUGAAUACCUUAAUUGGCUAGGGAAUUCCAUCGAACGCCUUAUAGGCAUCUCUCACAUCUAAAAGCAAUAACUUUGUGAAGCCUUUCCAUUUCCCAAACCUAUACUCAACUUCUCCAACUAAAUCCACUCAAAUCUUCAAUUUCUCAUGUCAAUCGCACUUCUUUAAUCUCUCGACAAAAUUAGAGAGGAAAUUAGGGAAGUUUCAAAAUUGGAGGGGAUGUGAGGCAGACAGAGAUAGAGAAGGAAGCUGAAAGUACUUGCGAAUGUUGGCCAUAGGAAUCAAAACCAAAUCCUCAAAAAAUUAUGACUAUCCCAUAUUCAGGUCGUGAACAACAAUCCACCACCUCUACACCCCACCACCUUAAUCUCUCUUCUGUUGGUGCAUCUAUGUGAUUGUAAUAAGCAAUAGAAAGAAUCGAAUUAAAAUAACCAUGUCCGCUUCUGGAACUUCAUUAAUCAAAUGUCGGUGACCAUCGCCACCGGUGUGCGAAGAUUAAGGAAUUGCGACCGGCCCCUUCGAAUUGGGUGGCAGAGACACAAACAUCUGAGUGAGGUGCAUAGUUCAGGGACAGACUGAUGACUAUUGUACUUGAUGUGAUGUCUCACUGACACAACUCCUUUUAUCUUAAUGGUAAAUUUUGGAUAAUGAUUAAAAGAUUUAUCAAUAUCUUGGUUACGAGAGUUUUACGAUGCCGAUCUCUUCAAUCAUGAUUGCGUAAAAUAAAAAAAAUUUAUGGAUAAAUUAGGAAAAU
rnacentral:lncRNA from 1 species